UUGUUGCAUGUAUAAUAUAUUGCAUCCGUUCAUGUUGUUGGACAAAUGGUCCAUUUGGUGAACCUCAAAUCCCAUUUUGUGGAUUGGGACGUGGUUGAUUUUGGAGGUGAUGGAAUCAGUGAGUCGUUAUCAGAGGUGAUGGUAACAAACUGAUGGAUUUGAUCCUAAGAGGUGAGGAUCAAAGUGGUGAACCUGAGUGUUCACGUAUUGGUACCACAUGCAUUAAGUCGAGUUGUUGAGUCUCAUUGCAUUGUACAUUGGUUGUAUUUG
rnacentral:lncRNA from 1 species